UCGCCAGACUCCUACGGGAGGCAGCAGUGGGGAAUAUUGCACAAUGGGGGAAACCCUGAUGCAGCAACGCCGCGUGAGUGAAGAAGUAUUUCGGUAUGUAAAGCUCUAUCAGCAGGGAAGAAGAAGGACGGUACCUGACUAAGAAGCCCCGGCUAACUACGUGCCAGCAGCCGCGGUAAUACGUAGGGGGCGAGCGUUAUCCGGAUUCACUGGGUGUAAAGGGAGCGUAGACGGCCAUGCAAGCCAGGGGUGAAAGCCCGGGGCCCAACCCCGGGACUGCCCUUGGAACUGCAUGGCUGGAGUGCGGGAGGGGCAGGCGGAAUUCCUGGUGUAGCGGUGAAAUGCGUAGAUAUCAGGAGGAACACCGGCGGCGAAGGCGGCCUGCUGGACCGCGACUGACGUUGAGGCUCGAAAGCGUGGGGAGCGAACAGGAUUAGAUACCCCAGUAC
rnacentral:rRNA from 1 species